UGGGUGACCUGCCCUCAGCUCUGGGAUAACCCCGGGAAACCGGAGCUAAUACCGGAUACUCCGGCUGGAUCGCAUGGUCCGGCCGGGAAAGGUCCGCCGGAGAGGGAUGGGCCCGCGGCCUAUCAGUUUGUUGGUGGGGUCAUGGCUCACCAAGGCGACGACGGGUAGCUGGUCUGAGAGGACGAUCAGCCACACUGGGACUGAGACACGGCCCAGACUCCUACGGGAGGCA
rnacentral:rRNA from 1 species